rnacentral:rRNA from 1 species
CCUACGGGAGGCAGCAGUGAGGAAUAUUGGUCAAUGGGCGCGAGUCUGAACCAGCCAAGUAGCGUGAAGGAUGACUGCCCUACGGGUUGUAAACUUCUUUUAUGAAGGAAUAAAGUGAGGCACGUGUGCCUUUUUGUAUGUACCUUAUGAAUAAGGACCGGCUAAUUCCGUGCCAGCAGCCGCGGUAAUACGGAGGGUCCGAGCGUUAUCCGGAUUUAUUGGGUUUAAAGGGAGCGCAGAUGGGUUGUUAAGUCAGUUGUGAAAGGUUGCGGCUCAACCGUAGAAUUGCAGUGGGUACUGGCGGUCUUGAGUACAGUGGAGGUAGGCGGAAUUCGUGGUGUAGCGGUGAAAUGCUUAGAUAUCACGAAGAACUCCGAUUGCGAAGGCAGCUUACUGAACUGUCACUGACGUUGAGGCUCGAAAGUGUGGGUAUCGAACAGGAUUAGAUACCCUAGUAGUC